GGAUUGUGGCUCAGCGGUAGAGCACUCGCCUAGCUCGGGCGAGACCUGGGUUCAAUCCUCAGCACCA
rnacentral:tRNA from 1 species